rnacentral:rRNA from 1 species
UACGGAGGGGGCUAGCGUUGUUCGGAAUUACUGGGCGUAAAGCGUGCGCAGGCGGUUGUGCAAGACCGAUGUGAAAUCCCCGGGCUUAACCUGGGAAUGGCAUUGGUGACUGCACGGCUAGAGUGUGUCAGAGGGGGGUAGAAUUCCACGUGUAGCAGUGAAAUGCGUAGAGAUGUGGAGGAAUACCGAUGGCGAAGGCAGCCCCCUGGGAUAACACUGACGCUCAUGCACGAAAGCGUGGGGAGCAAACAAG